rnacentral:rRNA from 1 species
GAUGAACGCUGGCGGCGUGCCUAAUACAUGCAAGUCGAGCGAACAGAUGAGGAGCUUGCUCCUCUGACGUUAGCGGCGGACGGGUGAGUAACACGUGGAUAACCUACCUAUAAGACUGGGAUAACUUCGGGAAACCGGAGCUAAUACCGGAUAAUAUAUUGAACCGCAUGGUUCAAUAGUGAAAGACGGUUUUGCUGUCACUUAUAGAUGGAUCCGCGCCGCAUUAGCUAGUUGGUAAGGUAACGGCUUACCAAGGCAACGAUGCGUAGCCGACCUGAGAGGGUGGUCGGCCACACUGGAACUGAGACACGGUCCAGACUCCUACGGGAGGCAGCAGUAGGGAAUCUUCCGCAAUGGGCGAAAGCCUGACGGAGCAACGCCGCGUGAGUGAUGAAGGUCUUCGGAUCGUAAAACUCUGUUAUUAGGGAAGAACAAAUGUGUAAGUAACUAUGCACGUCUUGACGGUACCUAAUCAGAAAGCCACGGCUAACUACGUGC